rnacentral:rRNA from 1 species
AUUGAACGCUGGCGGCAUGCCUUACACAUGCAAGUCGAACGGUAACGGGCCUUCGGGCGCCGACGAGUGGCGAACGGGUGAGUAAUACAUCGGAACGUGCCCGAUCGUGGGGGAUAACGAGGCGAAAGCUUUGCUAAUACCGCAUACGAUCUACGGAUGAAAGCAGGGGACCGCAAGGCCUUGCGCGGACGGAGCGGCCGAUGGCAGAUUGGGUAGUUGGUGGGAUAAAAGCUUACCAAGCCGACGAUCUGUAGCUGGUCUGAGAGGAUGAUCAGCCACACUGGGACUGAGACACGGCCCAGACUCCUACGGGAGGCAGCAGUGGGGAAUUUUGGACAAUGGGCGCAAGCCUGAUCCAGCCAUGCCGCGUGCAGGAUGAAGGCCUUCGGGUUGUAAACUGCUUUUGUACGGAACGAAAAGCCUUCUUUUAAUACAGGAGGGUCAUGACGGUACCGUAAGAAUAAGCACCGGCUAACUACGUG